rfam:Camelus ferus unplaced genomic scaffold scaffold1728, whole genome shotgun sequence.
GGAAGCAUGCAGCUCAGUGGUAGAGUGCAUGCUUACAAUGCACGAGGUCCUGGGUUCAAUCCCUAGCACCUCCA